rnacentral:lncRNA from 1 species
GCCCACUGCAUCCACACUCUGUCGCAUCCCACUGCCGCCUCCACCGCCACCUUGAACCAUAUCUCUCCUUGGUCCUCUCUCUUUGAGUAGCAUGCGGCGACAGCUGCUUCCGGCUGCAUGGUGGAGACGCGGUUGGUCGACGGAACGCGAGUGAGGUGUAAUGUGUAUCGUUCAUCGAUCUGUUCCCAUCUCCUAUUCCUCUCUUAUCAAACGUCGCGUCUGAAGUUGCUGCAACACAUGGUGCUCUCCUUUCCUAUGGCGAUGCAUAUAAGUGACAACAAUGGUGUCCUAUUGUCCCCUCCACACGUCUGACCGCCGAGGCGCGGAAGUAGCCGCAGAAGAUCGCACUCCGCGUAGCAAAUUCUGGUGUGUUGUGUGGCUGCCCGACAAUGUAAUUUUCUUCUCUAAAGUUCUCUCAUGGAACUUGGGCGUGUUUGAUAGAAGGUGUACAUUUUUCUAUGGAAAUAUUUGGAGAUUGUAUGUUUUUCUUCCAGUAUGUGCUAACUCUCAGAUUAUCUGCAUGUUUAGCAAACAAUUCUUCCAUCCAGGAUUAAGAAUCAUAUCUUAUAGAGUGUAUAAUAUUUUCUGUGUAGAUUUGUAACAUUUAAAUAUUGUUGGUUCUGCAAAAGAAAUAGCUUGAUGUAUGGAAUAUUGAGUCACACAUGUUUCUGUGUAUGGUUUGUUUGUUGUAUUUGGUAAUGGAUCUAAAUAGGUGAUCUUUUUAAUACAAAACAUACAUAUUUUUUCUCUAUUUGUAACCAUGGAACCCAUAAUAUCAUUGUUUGUUUUAAUAAUAUGUGUGAUCCUUCCUUUGCAGUUACAGUGUUCAGAUAACAUAGUUUCCAGUUACAAAAAAUAUGCUAAAGAAUUUUUAGAUACACUUUCAGAGUGCCCUCAGAGUGAUUUUCUUGUUUAUUAGUGGGUUCUGCAUAAUUAUAAAUAUGCUCUAAAAUAAAUUAGUAGAUUUAUGUUGCCCCAUUAUGCUUAGAAGAAUAUUCAUGCAUGCCUAUAGAUCUACUUGAUCGAACAGUAUUUAUACAGUCUUCACAAGUAUAGAACAAAAAAAUGUGAUGAAACUUACACAGUAGCAUAACAUUGUAUGCAGAUGAGAAGUUUGAUUUUAAAUUGUUUUUGCCACAACCAAUUCCAAUAUGGCCAAUUCAGUUGCUUCUGUCAUCAAAAGAUUGACAUGAGUCUUAACUUCGAUAGGUAAGGAAUUGAUUUCCCUCUUGAUAGGUUUCUAUCUCUUUGAAUUUAUAUUUUCGUUGCCACCAAAUUACGUCAUUAUUUUCUACAAAUUAAAGUUGAAAUCUGUGGUUUAUGUAUGCUGGUAAAAAAUAAAACAGUGUUCUUGAUAUUCCUCAUCUCUUUUUUUAACACAGUGUGCAUCUUAUAUUCACUCAUGUAAGCAAUCUCAUCAAGACUCC